rnacentral:misc_RNA from 1 species
GAUGAAGAACGCAGCGAAAUGCGAUAAGUAGUGUGAAUUGCAGAAUUCAGUGAAUCAUCGAAUCUUUGAACGCACAUUGCGCCCUUUGGUAUUCCAAAGGGCAUGCCUGUUCGAGCGUCAUUUGUACCCUCAAGCUUUGCUUGGUGUUGGGCGUCUUGUCUCUAGCUUUGCUGGAGACUCGCCUUAAAGUAAUUGGCAGCCGGCCUACUGGUUUCGGAGCGCAGCACAAGUCGCACUCUCUAUCAGCAAAGGUCUAGCAUCCAUUAAGCCUUUUUUUCAACUUUUGACCUCGGAUCAGGUAGGGAUACACGCUGAACUUAAGCAUAUCAAUAAGCGGAGGA